rnacentral:rRNA from 1 species
UACGUAGGGUGCGAGCGUUAAUCGGAAUUACUGGGCGUAAAGCGUGCGCAGGCGGUUUUGUAAGCCAGAUGUGAAAUCCCCGGGCUUAACCUGGGAAUGGCAUUUGGGACUGCAAGGCUUGAGUGCGGCAGAGGAGACUGGAAUUCCUGGUGUAGCAGUGAAAUGCGUAGAUAUCAGGAGGAACACCGAUGGCGAAGGCAGGUCUCUGGGCUGACACUGACGCUCAUGCACGAAGCGUGGGGAGCAACAAGG